GACUUUUGGAUGUUGUUAUUUUUCCAGCGAAGACUUGGAAAAUGGUGUGCAGAAAACAAAGAAGAUUGAUAACAUAAGUCAAAAGUCAACAUGUAUGUGGAGGGCGCGUAGUGUUCAGCAUAUGUGUGUCAAAUACAAAAAGCUUGAUAAGUCUGAUUUAGGAAACCUUUAUUAUCGUCUUUGUCUGAUUUUUGUUGCUGCGAUAGUUUUUAAUUUGAGAAUCUGAGCUUUUACUAUUACGGGACAAGGAGAUGGAAUGGAAUUGCUCAUUUUGGGAAUCCUAGAAUAAGGGAGGCAAGGGAGGAUAACAAAUUCUCUCUCUUCGUGGGUGGUGGUGGAGUUGUCACAGGAGCGAGGGGUGAUGGGUCUGCGACGGUGGCUGGAAAGGGGAUUAGGGUGGCGGCUGCUGGGGACAGCAAGAGACAGUGAGCAGGUGCUCGGAGGACUUACAAAUCCGUAGAAUUUGGAAGACUACCCGCUUAAAUAUGAAGGCUUAUGCAACUAGGUAAACUGUCAGGCUAAGACCUGUCAGAAACACUCCUGCUAAUAAUGCCAAGCUGAUUGCUAUGGUCCUCCGCCUAAGCUUUUUGGUGCCAAUUCGACCUAUAUGUAAACUAUUAAAAGCAGGAAAUAUAU